rnacentral:rRNA from 1 species
GAUGGACGCUGGCGGCGUGCUUAACACAUGCAAGUCGAACGAAGCACUUUAUUUGAUUUCCUUCGGGACUGAUUAUUUUGUGACUGAGUGGCGGACGGGUGAGUAACGCGUGGGUAACCUGCCUUGUACAGGGGGAUAACAGUUGGAAACGGCUGCUAAUACCGCAUAAGCGCACGGCAUCGCAUGAUGCAGUGUGAAAAACUCCGGUGGUAUAAGAUGGACCCGCGUUGGAUUAGCUAGUUGGUGAGGUAACGGCCCACCAAGGCGACGAUCCAUAGCCGACCUGAGAGGGUGACCGGCCACAUUGGGACUGAGACACGGCCCAAACUCCUACGGGAGGCAGCAGUGGGGAAUAUUGCACAAUGGGCGAAAGCCUGAUGCAGCGACGCCGCGUGAGCGAAGAAGUAUUUCGGUAUGUAAAGCUCUAUCAGCAGGGAAGAUAAUGACGGUACCUGACUAAGAAGCACCGGCUAAAUACGU